GAUGAACGCUGGCGGCGUGCCUAAUACAUGCAAGUCGAGCGAACAGACGAGGAGCUUGCUCCUCUGACGUUAGCGGCGGACGGGUGAGUAACACGUGGAUAACCUACCUAUAAGUCUGGGAUAACUUCGGGAAACCGGAGCUAAUACCGGAUAAUAUAUUGAACCGCAUUGUUCAAUAGUGAAAGACGGUUUUGCUGUCACUUAUAGAUGGAUCCGCGCCGCAUUAGCUAGUUGGUAAGGUAACGGCUUACCAAGGCAACGAUGCGUAGCCGACCUGAGAGGGUGAUCGGCCACACUGGAACUGAGACACGGUCCAGACUCCUACGGGAGGCAGCAGUAGGGAAUAUUACGCAAUGGGCGAAAGCCUGACGGAGCAACGCCGCGUGAGUGAUGAAGGUCUUCGGAUCGUAAAACUCUGUUAUUAGGGAAGAACAAAUGUGUAAGUAACUAUGCACGUCUUGACGGUACCUAAUCAGAAAGCCACGGCUAACUACGUG
rnacentral:rRNA from 1 species